AUUUUGCACAUCAGAUGCUGGGGUGGAAGGCCCCAGGGUACGCAGAAACAGAGGAGGCUCCCACCCAGCAGCAACCCCCAGAUUUGCUGCUGUGACGCUGCUCUGUUUUGCCUGCGGGAGCCAAAAAAAAGCAGAGAUAGAAAUGAAGGAGGUGCAGGCACCAAAGCAGAGAAGAAUGGAGCUGAGGUCAACUGAGCAUCACCCAGAAUAUGAGAUUUGACAGUCCUGGCUUUAGCAAGAUGAUCCACUCCCAGGAGGCAGCUGUAGGCAUCUUCAUUUUUCAUCUUGCAGAGAGGAAGCCAAAGUAAGAAGUGACAUGGCUGGUCCAAGCCGAAAAUAGAACCUGAAGCACCUGACUUCAACGCCUCUGCUUCAACUGCUAGUUAGCUGUAAUUCCCUGACAUUUUCCUACAUCCAAGCUCAAGUCAUUGCUUUGCAGUCUGUAUACAGGAAUUUUUGUCUCCUCUCCAAUCUAUAGUUGCCUAGGGAGACAGUAAGGUGCCAGGAGAACAGUGAGAUGAGAAGGUGCCUAUUGAAUCAGGCUUGGGGUCACUUCUCCAUCCAGCUGCACCCCUGAUUUGCCAGCUCAGUCAGUCCCUAUCCUUAGGUCCAAGUCUCUUUCCUUAUUCAAGUGGUGGUAGAGCAAUGAUGGUGACCUCCCUCUGUGAGACUAACAAGAAGCAUUACGUGCAGACAUGCAUUUGGUAAGGAGGAGUAUAAAUUUAAAGAAGUUCUGGAAAAAAAAACCUCUUUAAUAUUUUCAGGUGCUUCAGGGUAGGAUUUAAAUCAAGAAUUGCUUAGAAGUUAAACCUCAUUUUUGGUCAAUUGCACAAUUUUAUGCUCAAUUUUAUAUACAUGAAUUUGUUCUCAGUACAAAUAACUUCCACAUAGAUGUUUAAAUUACAGCCCUGUUCUACGUGACAAAGAAGGUCAGCAGGUCUGGGGUUACAUUUUGCCUGCAAAAGGUAUGUGGUACCCCCAGCAGCUCUGGGAGGAGAAUCAAGCCCACUGGCUUCAAUAUGAUGAAGCUAGAAAGAAGUUCACAGCUCUUGCAGUCAUUUUCUUGAAUCAUUUUGACAAAUCUGCCUCUCUGCUAAACUUUCUCUAGGGAAUUUCCAGGGAGAGCAAGAAAGAUCAUCCAGGGACAGAGCUCUGGCAGUGAUGUGGCUGAAGUGCCUGUAGACUUAAAUUUGUGUCUUCUAUCAAGUGCUCUCCCACAAAGCUGUCCCUCAGCUUUUGUUGUACCUGCUUGUCACAAAGCUUCAGGAUGACUGUAAAUGUUGAAAUGCCACCAUCCCACAGACACUACUAUUUCCCAAUAACUAUUUCUGUAUUCACAAGGGCUUAUGUGGAGGCAAGGAACUCCCCACUGAUGUCCCAGACAUGGGAGAGCACAGGAGACACCAUCAGAGAUAAAGCACCUCUCUGCAAAGAGCUGAUGAGACACUCAACUUGUCACAUACCAGAAAUGUGCCUGGAGACUGCCAAAGCCAAGGCCUCAGCAGGGAUGUGCUGCCACCAGCUCUGCUGGAAGUCCCCGCUCUCUGCAGCAGCAGUUUGCAAUCACUGCCCAGCUCCACGGCCCACAUCCCACAGCUGGCCUGUGUGGGCUUGCCUCAGUGAGAGAUGAUUUUGUCACCAUUGCCAUGAAACUUCAUCCAAGCACCUGGUGCUAGGAAGCACAUUGUGCUCCCAGCCUGCUGAGUCCAACAAGGAAGAGCAGCCCUGUCACUAUGAGACGCAAAAAACCACGACGCGAACAAGAUGCUGUUCUCGAGGUAAAAAGGGAAGUUUAUUUUCUGACUCCAACAUUUAUAGAUUUCCAAAGGUGACAGUGGACUGGAAGGUGAAAGUGCCACCUCUCCAAUGACACUGGACAAACUAACAGUCCAUCAAAUUUCUCCUCCUCCAUAAAAGAAUGCAGAACAACAAGUUAUUUAUAGAAAGUGUGUGAGAAAGUUUGUUAUAAGAAUGUAAACAUCAGAAGGCUUAGAAAAUCGUAAAAAAUCAGGGUGACACAGCCCAAAUUUAGCAACAGUCAUAAAUCCAGCUUUAACUCCACCUACAGGAACUAUCUCCAGGAAAUCAAUUAGAUUAAUCAGCUGCACAGCAAGUGUGCACUGCUGUGCUGUGGUUUGCAGGUGCAGUGUUCCCUAAUCAGAUCAAGCCUUUCCCAGUGUUGUUUUUUGAGGUGCAGUGGGAUAUCAAAGACACAGCAAAAGCUUUUCAUUUCUAAACCCUUCAUUUCUUCAAUAAAGAUGCACUUUGCUGCAGCAUAGGAUUUUUUAAUUAUACUCUUCCCUUCUACUCUGUUUUACAGCUGCAUAAAGAAAUCAAAUAUCUUGCUUACACUGACUGAUGUAUUGGGGAAAUAAAGUCUACUUCUGGCAGCUACCUUUUCAAUCAUUCAUUUCCAUAAAAUUCCAUUUCUAAUAAACUGAUUUAUA